GCCGACCAAGGCGACGAUGGGUAGCCGGUCUGAGAGGAUGACUGGCCACACUGGGACUGGAACACGGCCCAGACUCCUACGGGAGGCAGCAGUGGGGAAUAUUGCGCAAUGGGCGAAAGCCUGACGCAGCGACGCCGCGUGAGGGAUGAAGGUCAUCGGAUCGUAUACCUCUGUCAGGAGGGAAGAACCGCCACGGUGCUAAUCAGCCGUCGUCUGACGGUACCUCCAAAGGAAGCACCGGCUAACUCCGUGCCAGCAGCCGCGGUAAUACGGAGGGUGCGAGCGUUAAUCGGAAUCACUGGGCGUAAAGCGCACGUAGGCUGCUUGGUUAGUCAGGGGUGAAAGCCCGCGGCUCAACCGCGGAAUUGCCUUUGAUACUGCCGAGCUAGAGUCCGGGAGAGGGUAGUGGAAUUCCAGGUGUAGGAGUGAAAUCCGUAGAGAUCUGGAGGAACAUCAGUGGCGAAGGCGACUACCUGGACCGGUACUGACGCUGAGGUGGGAAAGCGUGGGGAGCAACAUGAUUAGAUACCCUGGUAGUCCACGCCGUAACGAUGAUG
rnacentral:rRNA from 1 species